rnacentral:rRNA from 1 species
CGUAGACGGUGUGGCAAGUCUGAUGUGAAAGGCAUGGGCUCAACCUGUGGACUGCAUUGGAAACUGUCAUACUUGAGUGCCGGAGGGGUAAGCGGAAUUCCUAGUGUAGCGGUGAAAUGCGUAGAUAUUAGGAGGAACACCAGUGGCGAAGGCGGCUUACUGGACGGUAACUGACGUUGAGGCUCGAAAGCGUGGGAGGCAAACA